UUUUAUGGAGAGUUUGAUCCUGGCUCAGGAUGAACGCUGGCGGCGUGCCUAAUACAUGCAAGUCGAGCGAACGGAUGAGAAGCUUGCUUCUCUGAUGUUAGCGGCGGACGGGUGAGUAACACGUGGAUAACCUACCUAUAAGACUGGGAUAACUUCGGGAAACCGGAGCUAAUACCGGAUAAUAUUUUGAACCGCAUGGUUCAAAAGUGAAAGACGGUCUUGCUGUCACUUAUAGAUGGAUCCGCGCUGCAUUAGCUAGUUGGUAAGGUAACGGCUUACCAAGGCAACGAUGCAUAGCCGACCUGAGAGGGUGAUCGGCCACACUGGAACUGAGACACGGUCCAGACUCCUACGGGAGGCAGCAGUAGGGAAUCUUCCGCAAUGGGCGAAAGCCUGACGGAGCAACGCCGCGUGAGUGAUGAAGGUCUUCGGAUCGUAAAACUCUGUUAUUAGGGAAGAACAUAUGUGUAAGUAACUGUGCACAUCUUGACGGUACCUAAUCAGAAAGCCACGGCUAACUACGUGCCAGCAGCCGCGGUAAUACGUAGGUGGCAAGCGUUAUCCGGAAUUAUUGGGCGUAAAGCGCGCGUAGGCGGUUUUUUAAGUCUGAUGUGAAAGCCCACGGCUCAACCGUGGAGGGUCAUUGGAAACUGGAAAACUUGAGUGCAGAAGAGGAAAGUGGAAUUCCAUGUGUAGCGGUGAAAUGCGCAGAGAUAUGGAGGAACACCAGUGGCGAAGGCGACUUUCUGGUCUGUAACUGACGCUGAUGUGCGAAAGCGUGGGGAUCAAACAGGAUUAGAUACCCUGGUAGUCCACGCCGUAAACGAUGAGUGCUAAGUGUUAGGGGGUUUCCGCCCCUUAGUGCUGCAGCUAACGCAUUAAGCACUCCGCCUGGGGAGUACGACCGCAAGGUUGAAACUCAAAGGAAUUGACGGGGACCCGCACAAGCGGUGGAGCAUGUGGUUUAAUUCGAAGCAACGCGAAGAACCUUACCAAAUCUUGACAUCCUUUGACAACUCUAGAGAUAGAGCCUUCC
rnacentral:rRNA from 1 species